AGCCCCAGUGCUUCAGGGCACCUGGGAAUGGUGCUCCUCAGGUUAAUGGCAGAGUAGCCCUGUGCUGCCAGGUUGGAGCCUGGCCCUGCAGUGAGGUUGGCUCUGAGCAGAGAUACGAGGAGAGGAGAGGCUCUGGGACUUCAUGGGGCUCUGAAGGUUGCUGAGAGGGGAGUGAAAUGAAGGGCUGAAAGAGGAGUUGUUAUGACUGGAUAAACACAUUUGUACACCCCGUCUUCAGAAGUGCUGUCAGCAGGGGACUGCAGCAGCUCUCUGAGCUCAUCCAGGGACUGAUUGGAAUUCCCUGCUCAUAGCAAUAGCAGGAUCAAUAUCAUUAUUGUUAAUGGUCGCUGCGUGUGUGGCUCCAGAUGAAAACAGCUACCACGUGUUGGGUUGCUCUCAGCCAAGCCAUUCCAGCACCAUGCUCUUGCUGUGCCCAGCUGAGCGUGAGGACGUGGCACAACAGCCCUGCCGUGUCAGUGGUGGGGAUGCGUGCUGCAGUGAAGUGUCAAGCUGCUUCCACAGGCUGCUUGGAUAGCACAGCUUCAUUUCUUGCUAUGGAAACAAUACAGCCAAAGAUAAGAAAACAAUGGCAGAGAGAGAGAGGCUGAACAACUUUGAAGGGGUUUGAAGGUUAUCUAAUGCUCUCAUCACCGAAGUAUACAACCACUUACUAGUGUUCUGUCAUGCAAACAUGCUCUCUUUUCAAAGAUGUCAGCAUGAAUCUAACUUCCAAGAGCAGGAUCACACUUCUGUGCAGCAUGAGGACAAUAAAUGAAAAGCACCUUCCAACAGAGGAUGGUUCCCUAGAAAUGGUUUUGCCCAGUGACGCUGCAUCUCAACCGUGAUGCACCCCAUGCAGGCAUGGAAAGAUUUCUCCUCAUGGUGGUACGGGGUGGUGCUGGUGCUGGGGAAGUGGUGGGUGUGAGGAGUGCUGCAGAGGGGGGUUGGGGCAGGGCUGUCCUACAUCCCUGUGCUCUGGUGGAUGAGCACACUGUCAGUGCUCAGAGCGCUUUCUCAAGUACUCGUCCCUUUUUCAUAGGACACCUUUGGAGAUGAAAGCCUGUGAAUCUUCUUUAGCCACUCUGGGGAGCACAGCCUUCAGAGGACUUCUAUAAUUUCUCUAAACCUGUGAUCAAAUGCCAAGUAAAUGAGCUAGGAAGCUGUCAAAAAAAAAAAAACAAAAAACCCACAAACACAAAAAAAAAACCCUUGCAGUAACCAUUUAUGAAGACAGGUUUUCAAGGCAAUAGCAGGAGGCUUUGUGAUAUGCCCUGUCACUGCUGGAAAGCUGAUGUCAUGGCACACUGGGCUCCUCAAAACCCAUUGUAAAGCGACUCCUGAGACACAGCAAUUACACUGACUGACACGCUGGGACUCAGAUCUCCCCUGCUUAGUGCAAACUGUGUUGGGGCAAUGCCUGCUGAGCCCAGCACAUGCCUUCCAGUUAGUGGAUCAGGCAGGGAAAGAAAACGUGCUGUGCCCAAGUUGCAUGAGCUCCAUUUCCAUGCUGCUGGGAGGGAUGGAUGGCUUUUAGCUGCUGCAGGAACGCUGCACAGGGACCAGCCUGGCCACCCCCAAUGGGAUAAAUUAGUGCUUUAUGCCCUCUUGUCUGCUGAGUUUAUCGGUGUCUGCUGGUAAUGCACAUGCUGCUUUGGAGGAAAUUUAUCACACGCAGAGGAAGGACAAGAGGAUAAUCUUAGAAAAAGGCUUCAUCUGUGCUAGCAAAUUAGUAAGACUUUGGGCUAGAAAUUGACAGUAAAUGUGCUGCCUCCAAAUGCUGUCUAUAAGUAAACUGAACCUAUUAAAAUAAAUGGGCUAUAAGUCUGUUAAUAUAACGUGCAUUUGAGGAUCCCACACAGCCCUUAUGCAGCCACAGCUUUCAUUCUGUUCGUUCUUCUUCAGCAGUUUCUUUUCUUAAUCACCCCUCCUAGAGCUGCAGCAGAUUCAAUCCAGUUGUCACACAUCCCAUUAGCAUUAAUCGGGUCUUGGGCCAGAAAUGAACUUCAUCCCUUAGACUACAGUUCCGUGCUGCUUCAAUUUACAAAUUAAGCAUUGCUGCAGAGCAGCUGUGUGAUUGCUGCCACUGCAUGCAGGGGGCAAAGCGAGCUGGAGGGAAGGGGACAAGGAAGGAGCUUUGAGCGCACAGUGGUUGGUUAUUCUGCAGUAGCAGCCCCAGAAGCUGUGCAUCUCAGAUGCAGGUGAAUGUAUUUGCAAGAGUUUUUCUAAUGUGGAUUCAAGAGUAAAUCAACCCAUCAAAGAUGGAUUGGGCCCUAAUCCACUGCAGGAAGGUUUCUGAGGCAGGAAUAUGGGCUGCAAGGAGCCAUGGUGUUGUACUUAUCUCCCUAAUAUGAAAGGAAGAUCCAAAAGAAGCAGGCUACUAUAAUUAAGAAAAUGUUAAAAUAACCAGUUACUCCUCCUGGAAUUAGACUUGCUGCUUUUAAAAUUUCAUUAGAUGGGAAUCUAAGUCACAGAGAACGUAUACGUAAUCACAACUGCAUAGUUCAAAGAGCCCUCUCAAAAGUGGGAUGCCCAAAAGUAUGACCUACCUUUGCUUCCAUUUCAGAUUUCCAGGGAGUUAUUAAAAAUUAAAGAUGCCUUUAAGGAGCUUCCCAGAAAACUGCUUAAAUGUAGGACAUAGUGUACCAGCAGGUUACAAACUGAAGCAACUUUUAUGCAAUAUAUUCUGCUACAAAGCAAUUCUGUUCAAAGUAUUUAAAGUAUUUCAAUUAAGAAAAAUAAUGGUCAAGGACAAACAACAUUUUAGUAGGAGGUGAUUAGAUUAUUUCUAUGGUUACUGUGCUGAAGCUGCAGCUUGAAUUAAAGUUUUAAGAUCCACGUUACUUUUAUUACAAAAUUGAAGCUAAUGACUAAUUUUUCCAAAGACCAAAAAGUUCCUUUUAAAGGAUGGGAUGUAGAGGAGAGUCCAAGGCAUGAGGUAGCUUGAUCUGUUUGAAGUCCCUUGCAUGCUUUUACAGAAAAUGUGAUGAUGGUUUUAAGAAUUCAGCGUUUAGAUCACAACACAACCAACAGGGAUAGAAGUAUGUAAACACACCAUCCCAGACUUCUGCAUUCGGAGCCUGAGGGUUUGCUGUGUGUUUGGAGGGAUGGUGCUUGUUGCCUUUUUUUACUCAAUAGCUCUGAGACAGCAUCCCAUCACCCCUCUCCAUCUUGUCAGUGCUUCAGGAACAAGGUGGCUGUCUUCCCUGUAAUUGGUGGUGAGGCAGCACAGUGGUGCCCAGCUUUCUUACCAAGAGCCACCAUCUGUGUAACAUUAAAAAUAAUCAAGGCUCUCAUCUUUGUGAAGAAAGGAAAUUAGCUGAAGCACAGCGGUUGCCCUUUUUGCUAAACAAACAUGGGCAAAAGAUGCCAAAAAGAGCAACCAAGGACCACUCUCUCUGGUGCUUACACUGGCAGUGCCUGGGCUCAGUCUCACCAGUGCUCUGGUGGUGCCCACCUCCAGCAGAGAUGGGGCUGUGCUGCUGCUCCUGGCUCCACUCAUCUGCUCUGAGGGUGCUGCAGAGAAUUCCCCUGCAUCAGCAGCUUGUGCCUUGCACAAAGAAGAAAAUGAUACAGCACAGAAGUACAGUUACAGAAAUGGAAAGAUAAAAGAUGAAGUGAGAAUAUUGGAAACCAAGUCUCCCAAUGAGGCCCUCAUCAGCAUUUGGUCAGUAAAGGUGAUGACGUGAGGAUGAGAAUGUUCUUAUUUCUCAUGAAAGCUUAUAAUGGUCAGUAUUCAUUUCCAUUUCUUUCGGGACAGAAGUUGAUGUCAGAUGCCCCCUGCUUCAGCCUCACACUGGGACCUGGAGCACAGCUGGUGGCAGUGCUGAGCUUGGCUUCCCCAGCCUGCCAGGUCCUCCUGCUCUUCUGCAGCCUCUGCAGUCACAAACCACCAAUCAGUUUUGUCAUUUCGUGCUCAAAUUUACUUACUUACAGUGUUACUUUGUUUUUAC